rnacentral:rRNA from 1 species
AGACCCGAAACCCGGUGAUCUAGCCAUGGGCAGGUUGAAGGUUGGGUAACACUAACUGGAGGACCGAACCGACUAAUGUUGAAAAAUUAGCGGAUGACCUGUGGCUGGGGGUGAAAGGCCAAUCAAACCGGGAGAUAGCUGGUUCUCCCCGAAAGCUAUUUAGGUAGCGCCUCGUGAAUUCAUCUCCGGGGGUAGAGCACUGUUUCGGCUAGGGGGCCAUCCCGGCUUACCAACCCGAUGCAAACUGCGAAUACCGGAGAAUGUUAUCACGGGAGACACACGGCGGGUGCUAACGUCCGUCGUGAAGAGGGAAACAACCCAGACCGCCAGCUAAGGUCCCAAAGUCAUAGUUAAGUGGGAAACGAUGUGGGAAGGCCCAGACAGCCAGGAUGUUGGCUUAGAAGCAGCCAUCAUUUAAAGAAAGCGUAAUAGCUCACUGGUCGAGUCGGCCUGCGCGGAAGAUGUAACGGGGCUAAACUAUGCACCGAAGCUGCGGCAGCGACACUAUG